rnacentral:rRNA from 1 species
CCCUUAGAUGUUCUGGGCCGCACGCGCGCUACACUGAUCGGUGCAACAAGCAUCCGUCCUUGGCCGACAGGCCCGGGCAAUCUUUGAACGCCGGUCGUGAUGGGGAUAGACCUUUGCAAUUUUUGGUCUUCAACGAGGAAUUCCUAGUAAACGCAAGUCAUCAACUUGCAUUGAUUACGUCCCUGCCCUUUGUACACACCGCCCGUCGCACCUACCGAUUGAAUGGUCCGGUGAAGCCUCCGGAUUGGCGCGCACCUCGGUGCCGCCGAGAAGUUGGCUAAACCUUACCAUUUAGAGGAAGGUGAAGUCGUAACA